rnacentral:rRNA from 1 species
UACGUAGGGGGCAAGCGUUGUCCGGAAUCAUUGGGCGUAAAGCGCGCGUAGGCGGCCCUGUAAGUCCGUUGUGAAAGUCAAAGGCUCAACCUUUGAAAGCCGAUGGAUACUGCAGGGCUAGAGUCCGGAAGAGGCGAGUGGAAUUCCCGGUGUAGCGGUGAAAUGCGCAGAUAUCGGGAAGAACACCCGUGGCUAAGGCGGCUCUCUAGUACGGUACUGACGCUGAGACGCGAAAGCGUGGGGAGCGAACAGG